CUCAGCUUUGGACAAAUACCACAUUUUGGGGCUGCAGGGGUGUGCUCUUUAACAACCUUUCUUCUCCAAUGUCUUUUAAGUUCUUUUUUUUUUUUUUUAAAAAGGACAGACGUUGAGAGGUUUCUACCCCUCAACCUCAGCCAGUGAAGACAAUCGAUAUAUUUCUUUACAGACAGACAUCAUUUUGUAUUGCAUUAUUGUUUCUUUUGUUAAUAUCAGAGUCAAUUCUGCAAAAACCACACCGCUUAUGGACAGAGACCCACAGACAAAGAGCAGCUCGAAGACCUCUAUGAAGAAAACCAAUCAUGGAUCCAGAUUUCACUCGCCCGGAGGUGUGGCACGAUGGCGAGCGCCUGGUGCCCGGGUCUGUUCCCAGCAACACAUUCUAGGUGAGGGAGGAAAAAGCCUGCCAUCAUCCAGAGUGGAAAAAGCAAUAAAAGCUUUGAGUCCAAUGGGAGGAAGAAUAGUGUAUAUCUCAGUGGCUGCGGCGUGACAUGUUUUGCAGGAGGACCUUGGCCAAUGGCGGUGUGUCUCUCCUGCGAGCUCAGAGUGCCAAACAAGAUGUCCUCCUUAACCGUCACACUGAAACUGAACUAAGUUGUUGACACCGUUUGCUUUAAGAAAAAAAAAAGUACAAUUUGCAGCCGAUUAGAGCCAGCUGCAGCACAGUAUUCUCUGUGCGCCUAAUGUACGGAAUAAUUAUGGUUGUGCUUACCGACAUCAAAGCUAUUUUAUUUACAUAGUGAAAUGAUAAGUGUGACCGGUUGAUGGCAGUCUGUCAGGUUCAAACACUGAUGACAUCUAUUAAACAGACAAGAAGCAAGGAAUCAUGCAGAGACAGAGUUUAAUUUUGCUCAAUGAGGAGAAUGCAUGGAGCUGCACACUUAGUUACAGUCUCGCCCUACACUCUAAGGUACAGCUCCCGCGUCCCUCUAUUUAUUAAGGAAUUCCCCAGUCAACAUCACUGAGGCCACCUCUGAAAGGAGUGGUUGCGUAUCAUCCAAAGCAGCUCCAGUACGCACAAUACGUGACGGAGUGUGCCGGCGGCCUUGUGGUUUCGCCUUGUCUCUGCUUCGUCUGCGUUAUGUUGUCUUAUCUUGGUUGAGGUCCUUGAAGUCCUUGGCUGUUGGCGGGCUAAAACAAAGAUGACAUCUGCAGCUGCAGACAAGAGGUUUUGUCCUUGUACAGAUAGAAAAAGUACAGCUUGAGCACAAUUGCUAAUAACUAUAGCAACAGACUUUAAGCAUACUAAAGUUGUGUGAUGACUUACACAUAAUUAUUCCAACGCAGUCACACAUAAGAGAUACAUGAAGACUGCAAUAUGACUCAAGUAAACAACACCAACAUUUUAUAUCGUCCAUUGAAAAUAUAGAACAUUACACACGGCGCUCAAAAAUCUAUUAAAAUGUUUUAGUGCGUGUAGAGGUUGCCCUCUAGUGGGUUCCUCGGACCACCACACACGGCCACGAGAGCCCGGGUUUCAGGGUACAACACUGGUUCAUUUGCAUAAAUAGUGCGAGGCUUUUACUUUCCACCAAAAUUUAUUUUCUGAAUCCAUGUCUCGCUCUCUCACUCUGGCUCCCACUCCAACUCUGUGUCUCGUUCCAGCUGCUGCUAAUAAAGGUGACAGGUGAUUAGAUAACAUGGCCCACGUGGGCCGUCUAGUCACCUGUCGCUGUCUUCAAGGCCGGUCCUUCCACACCCUGUUCCGCGGCAGGCCUGCAGGUCACGCCUCCCUCCACAGUACGACUUUGGUAAGCUGUGAAGCCGCACCGCUUGAUGGAUUGUUCUGUUGUGGGGGGUGGGGGGACCUGCGGACUUGCAGCGGAAUGGGGUGUGCAAGGACCGGCUUCGAGAUCAGCGACAGGUGCGUAGAUGGCCCACCUGGGCCUGCUUAUCUAAUCACCUGUCACUCUGUUAAAAGGCAGCAGCCGGGGAGGAGAGAGGAAGUGGAGUUGGAGCACUAGCGAGAGCGAGACAGACCAACGCAAAGACAAUUGCUGAAAAGCACGUCAGAGACAAUUUUAUUGCAAAAUAAAACAGUGUUCUCAACCCUGAAAGGAACUGUCAUGUCAGUGCUUGGUGGGCCGAAGAACCCGGAAGGGAAAAACCUCCACAACUGUGCUUCAACAUAUGAGUAUUAUUAUAGUGUGUGUAUAAGGUAAGAAAUAUUUCCUGGCGUUUUGUUUCGCAAUAUUAUGCAAAAGAAACUUUUCUUACCUUCUGGUACCUGCUGAUCUGUGUUUGGGAAACUGAAAACUUGCACGCGUCCGCCUUUGUAGUCUGUGACGAUGACGUAGUGGAUAAGCUUCUUCUUUUUCUCUAUCUUCUUGUUAUGGGAUAUUCUUCCUCCACUGUUGCCAUUUCUAAUAUAAAGUAGUGUCAAGUUCAAACUUAUAUCUGUCAAUAAACUCAUCAUGU